GGAAUAAUACUUUAAAAUAAAAGUUUUGAUUUGCAGUUAUAGAAUAGGGUUAAAUCCCUUUAUUCC
rnacentral:tRNA from 1 species